rnacentral:lncRNA from 1 species
GGAGACCCAACUGCUGCCGGUCGGGACGGACAGGAAAGGGGGCGGGGAUAAGCUUGUGAACGAGACAGAGCAUCUCAGUUGGCUCUGUCAAGGAAGUGAAACAGGCAUUCCUAGGGCGGCAUAUCGGAAAAAGAAGGAUUUACUUUCUAUACGGGCCCGUCCCCGCCCCGCCUAGAAUAGGAAUCUUUGACUGGGCUUACACACAUUCGCUCACUUACGCUGUCCCCCCUCAGCUCACCCUAGCCCCGGGUACGUCGUCUCC